GUUGUUGUAGUAUAGUGGUAAGUAUUCCCGUCUGUCACGCGGGUGACCUGAGUUUGAUCCCUGGCAACGGCG
rfam:Medicago truncatula strain A17 chromosome 3, whole genome shotgun sequence.